GUAUCCUCAGCCUGACAGAACAAGACAGAAAACAAAUGUUGAAAAGAACACCUUGGGGAGAGCUUCAAUGAAGAUCUGAAUUGAGCCUGGGACUUCCCACAUUUGAACUGAGGAAGAUGAGAUGUAUUAAGCAAUGGACCACUCCAGCACAGGCUUCAGUCAUGGGCUUCUUCAGAGGUUGUCUUCUGCUCCAGUGCGGUGGCCAUCACAGGCUACAGACAGGAGUCUGCCCCACUUGAUCUUUAAGGGCAUCAAGGGCUCAGGCUGUUGUCUCUCCAUGGGCCAAAGGGGAAUGGCUGCUCCAGCAUGCCUACCACAUUGACCUCCACACCCACAUGGUUUUCUCUACCAUAUUCCACUCCUCUUCCAAACAAAGAACUCUCCAAACAAA